rnacentral:rRNA from 1 species
AGGUGAUAUAUUGAAAAUAGGUAUAUGAAAUUAAUAUUAUUUUAAGGAUAAUGAAUCAAAAUUUUAAAUAUGAUAAAAAGAUAUAUUUUAUAUCAAUCAUAAUCAUGAAAAUGAUAAAAAUAAAAACUAGUGGAAUGAAACAUCUGAGUAACUAGUUAAAUAACCAACAGGGAUAAUAUAAGUAACGGUGAGUGAAAAUAUUAAAAUCUUAAAGUAUUGCCAUGAGGUAAGAAUAAAGUAGUUUCCAACUACUAAGAAUAUAAAUAAAAUUUUAGAUAAAAGUACUGUAAGGGAAAAUUAAUAAAUAGAAUAAUAAAGAGCAGUCAUAGUAUGGCGUACCUCUUGUAUAAUGGGCCAGUGAGUUAUAUAAUUAAGUGAAAAAUAGAUAGUUAUUUUUAUAUAUAAUUAGAUAGAUAAUACCUACCCUUAGGGUGGGUAUCCCCCAACAAAGCUGGGUAAUGGCCCCGCGUAGCGGGGCUAUCCCCGCCCUUCGGGCGGUAAUUUAAUUAUAUAGGCCCGAAAGCAAACGAUCUACACAUGUCCAAGUGUAUAUAUAACUUAAAAAAAUAUAUAUAUGACUCAAUAGGUAAUUGUAGCAAUAAUUUCUAAAGAGGUGUGUGUAGUUGUGACAGACAAAUCUGGUUUGCAGAUAGCUGGUUUUCUGCGAAAUAUAUUUUAGUAUAGCCUUUAUUAUUUUUUAAACUGGUACAGCACUUAAAUAACUUUGGGGAAUUAGAAUAUAAUUUUAUCAAAAUAUUUAAACCUCGGAAUCAGUUAAUAAUUUACAUAAGGAGUCAGACUUAUUGCGAUAAGGUAGUAGGUCGAGAAGGAAACAACCUAGACUAUUAAAUGAAUGUCCCAAAUAUUAAUUAAGUGAACAAAAUCUAUCCUACUUUAAACGAGUAAAUACUCGGGGAAUUAAAUUAUAGACAAUUAGUAAGUGGGUUUGACAAUAAUCAACUUUUAAUGAACAUGUAACAAUGCACUAAUUUUAUAUAUAUAAAUUAUUUAUAUUUAUUAAUAAUAGAGAAAAUAUACGGGUCUAAAUUAAUAACAGUAUUAUAGAUAUAAUGCCCACCCUUCGGGAGGGAAUCCCUCAGCUUAGCUGGGGGAUAAAAGUUAUAUGGUAGCAGAAUAUAUAAUGUAAAAUUAUAAAGAGAUUGCUGGCUUGAGUAACGAUAGAUAAUAUAAGAUUAUCCCCUUAUUCAUAAGGUUUAACUAUAAACGAACGGUCCCUAAGAUAAAUAUAGAAAUAUAAAAUUAAUGGGAAAAAGAACAAGAAAAGAAAAAUGAACCGUACUGUAAACCGACACAGGUAUGAUAAAUAAAGGGAAUGGGAUAACUACUUUGAAUGAACUCGGCAAAAUAAAUCGUGCGACUGUUUACCAAAAACAUAGCUUAUUGCAUACUAGUAAUAGUAAGUAUAAUAAGUGAUAUCUGCCCGGUGUUAGUUCAAUAAAUAAAAUUAUUAAAUAGAUAAAUUUAUAAAAAACUGAUAAACGGCGGUCUUAUUGUGAGGAUCCGAAGGUAGCGAAAUUCAUUGACGUAUAAUUGACGUCCUGCAUGAAUGAAUAAACGAUGCGAUAACUGUAUCCAAAGUAGACUCAGUGAAAUAGCAAUUGCGGUGAAAUUAGUACUAUUAUAUCUAAAAGAUAUUUUUACGCCGGGUUGGUGAAAAUCCAACUUUAUAGUUAUAUCUUAGAUGAAUAUUAAUAAAAAAGAAUACAAUCGAAUAAUAUUCUACUUUUAUUAUAAAAGGUAAUUUAUAUAUAUAGGCAAUAUGUAAUUUAUAAAUAACUAUAAAUAAAUGGUGAAAACGGUUAAUGACAUCUUAGUUAAAGACCGUCGGCAGUUGUAUAUGUCGCUACAGACUGGUUCACCGAGGUUAGACUGAAAUGUCUGUCUAAAUGUACAGUCGGAUUCUGUAAUAUAAUAUUUAUAUAUGCCCUGAGGGCGGUAAUUAUAUAGAGGUGAAAGAUAUAAACUCAAUAUAAAUUGGGAAUAAGCUUAUUAGUACAUAAGUAAUAAACCUUUGUAGGUCAAACCUACUUAAUUUAAUCAGAUUUGGAAGAUGCCGUAUAUCCGUAGGUUGACAAAAAGACCCUAUGCAGCUUUACUAUAUCUUUAUUUUGAUUUUUUACCUUCGGGUUUACUUUUUUUAUUCAUUUCAGUAGAUUAGGUUAUAUUUAUAUUUUAAAUAAAAUGAGAUACCUAUAUAAAUGAAAAAAGAAUCUAAUUAAUUUAAAACAUAUAUGCCCGCCAAGGUGGGGGUUAUGAUAAUAUUUAAGAAAGAGUAAAGAGGUUAGUUUCGAUGGGGCGUCGACAUCAGCGAAAGCAUCUGAUGUGUCUAAUAAUAAUGAUUUUGAUAUUAAUCAAAACUAAAUAUUUAAUUAAAUUUUUUAUUUAAUAGUAAAAUACGUACAAUAAUUCUAUAUGGUAAAUAGAAUAAAAGAUUAUAAGUAAGGAUAACAACAUAAUUGUGCGAUGAUAAUAACACAAACAAGUGAAAUUAGUACAUAAGUAGAGUGUAGUGAACAGGCAUAAACAAAUGGUAUGGAUGUCGAUAACGAAUUAAAGUUACGCUAGGGAUUAAUUGUUAGUCCCUUAUAUAUAGAAAUAUAUAUAUUAUAACAUAAUUGGGUGAAUUGCAUAAAAGUCUUAAUCAUAUCGGUAUAUGAUGAUAACUUAGAUAGAGAUAUUAAUUAUAAAAUUUAUGAAAAGAUAAUUUGCAGCGAAGUUUAUAUAAGUUAAUUUGUAUAUAUAAAAACGUUCAACGACUAGUAGAUGAGUAAACUAACAAUAAUUCUACCACGAGCGCCCAACAUCUAACAUUUAAAUAAAUAAAUUAUGAUGAUGACAUAGUCUGAACUAUAUAGAAAUAUAUAGAAGUUGAUAUAAAGAGAUCAACGAUAACAUAAUUGAACAGGGUAAUACCGCGUGAGAGUUGAUAUCGUCAGCGGUGUUUGCCACCUCGAUGUCGUCUAGACUCGUCCUCCUGGUCGCAGCAACUAGGUAGGGUAGGACUGUUCGUCCUCUAAGGAGUUACUUGAGAUGGGUUAAUUACGACGUGAGUCAGUAAUGAUUUUAUCAUCUAUGGAUCUUAACUUAUCUGUUGCCUUAAGUGUACGCAAGGAUAAUAAGGUACUUUCCUAUGGUUAAUUUAUUUAAUUUAGCUAAGAAUGUUGUGUUUACAUAUUGAAUGCAUAUCAAAUAUUAAAUCCUUCAGAUAAGUUUUUAACAUUAUAGACUAUAAUGUAUUAGUUAAUUUGUAUAAGAUUGCAAAAAUUAACCCCCAGCAAUGCUGAGGGUGGAAACUAAUUUAUAUAAUUCAUAUACCU